rnacentral:misc_RNA from 1 species
AUACAGGUAAACAAGUUAAUACGCCCACCUGUGUAGCUGGCUUUUUUCCUUUCCACACGUAAAGAUGGCUAACAUAGACAAACAGACAAUCCGCGAUGCUUACGAAGAAGUUCGUAAUGAUAGUAACGACACUAAUUGGGCUGUUUUGAAAUAUGAUGGAUCAACAUUGUCCUGGGUUCUACUGGGUCUAGUUUUGAAGACUUCGCGUCGAAUUUCACCGGUAGGUAUAAAGCUGUUAGAUCUUAUUCAUGCUUUUAUAUGACAGAACUUAUUCGACAGUGAUAACGAUUAAUAUCUGACUCAAAACGCUUUUUAUGAACAUCUGAUACAUGUGGUGCGGAAGAUCUAUGUGUUGAAUGACAUGUAUGUAAAUUAUUCGAAGUUGGCAAGUGAAAUCGCAUAGAAGUUUUAAACUGCAUGAAGUGGUCACUGGUUCAGAUCCCGCUACAUUAAAACAUUAUUAUUUUGGUAUCCUUGCUGUUUUAUCUAUUUGUUCAUUCAUUUUAGAAAAUCGAGUUUUAUUUGUUUAAAACCGAGCAUAGCACCCCCCCCCCCCCCCGCACAGAAAAACGUGCAGAGGAGGAAUUUAAGUGGGUGUUUUAUAAAAGUGUUUGUGGUAGUUUGUUUUUACUGAUUUAUUCACUUGGAUAUAUUUUGUAACAGUUUUUAAAGAUUAUUUCAUUAAUAUAUGGGAGUUAAUUCCUGGGUUUUUCUGUAAAAUUCGGUCGGGGGAGGGGGGGGGGGUCCAGUCAACAAGCACCUGUGCGUAAAAAGCGUAAUUAAUCUAGCAAAAGAAAAUUCAGAGCCUUUGAAUGAGAAACAAUUUACUAAAAUUAUAUAUUUCUAAACAGAUUUGCAUAUCCAUUCUCAUAUUUUUUUUUGGACAACUUUUGUGUGUUUAAAAAAAUAUAUAAAUAUCUACUCUAACUGCACUUCAAUGUUACCAAAACAAAAGUAUAAAAGAGUACUUCAAAUAGCCACUUCACAUGUCAAAUUCCAAAUUUGUGUGUAUGCAUAUGGUAUGGAAAUAUUAUUUUUACAUGUUUACGAUAUAUUUUAAGUGUUAUUCUGAUGGUGAUGCUUCGAUCACUUUGCACAAAAUGAGACUGUGCAGAGAAGAGGAGAAGCUAGUAGUCUAGGUACUGUUGGGUCAAUCUACAAAGAUCAUGUUCGAGAUGCGAUAGGAUGUUCUCCACUGUUUUCUGAAUCAUGAAACCAUUGUUGAUUUUUGUAGAUGAUGAUCGAGUAUACGGGUUCCUCCGAGUGAUCGCCGGCGACGAGCUCAGCAAACGAACUAAAUUCGCCUUAAUUGUAUGGCUCGGUAAAAAUGUGUCUGGAAUCAAACGGGCAAGAAUGGGCACCGACAAAUCCUCAGUCAAAGAAGUCAUUCGUGUGUGUAGUCUCAUCGUUUAAAUAUUUUAAAUAUUCACCCGGCAAUAUUUACAAAAAUAAUUUCACCCGGCACAACUUCUCGACUUAUAUAUACUUAUGCAAAGCGUUAAAUUUUCUGAAAGUUCAAAGUCGCAUAAUUUUAACAGAGACAAACGCAAAAAAGUUAAUAUAUUUUUUCAAUAUUUCAGAGUUAUGCUGUAGAACUAAUGAUUAACGAGAAAUCCGAAUUGAAUGAAGAUUUCAUCAGAGAGGCGAUAGUAAAGGCGGGCGGGGCUAACUACGGAACCGGAACUCGGGAUUGACGGAGGACCAGCUUAGUCCCAACAAAACCGUGACUUACUUAAGAAAUUGACAGUGCAUUUUACCUGUCUCGUAUUUUUAUUUAAAAAUCAAGCAUAUACUAGUAUUGUGUUUUAUACUUAAGGGAACAAAUCAUUGUUAUAUAAGUGAUAUUUUUUAGCUUUACAACGCAGUAACAAUGAAAGAUAUUAAUUUUAUGCAAUGAUAUUUCAUGUAUCUACAUCGUGUCCUAUUAUUGCCAGUUCCAUGAUAUUGUUCAGGACAUUUUUCAGUAUUUUAUUGAUACUGACAAAAUAAAAUGAAAAACUAUUGAUAUAU